GUGCAGCAGUCGCGAAAACUCCGCAAUACGCGAAAGCGUGACGGGGCCAUCCCGAGUGCCGUCCGCUGAGGAUGGCUUUUCCCUAGUGUAGAUAGCUGGGGGAAUAAGGAGAGGGCAAGUCUGGUGUCAGCCGCCGCGGUAAUACCAGCUCUCCGAGUGGUAGGGACGAUUAUUGGGCUUAAAGCGUCCGUAGCCGGCUCAGCAAGUCUCCCGUUAAAUCCAACGAUUCAAUCGUUGGACUGCGGGAGAUACUGUUGAGCUAGGAGGCGGGAGAGGCCGACGGUAUUCCCGGAGUAGGGGUGAAAUCUUAUAAUUCCGGGAGGACCACCAGUGGCGAAGGCUGUCGGCUAGAACGCGCUCGACGGUGAGGGACGAAAGCUGGGGGAGCGAACCGGAUUAGAUACCCGGGUAGUCC
rnacentral:rRNA from 1 species